ensembl:lincRNA
CGGCCUCGGGCCUGGGUGCCCCGUGCGGGGUGCGGGAAUCGGGAGGCGCCCCCCGCGCUGCUGUCCUCCGAGCCCCCGAAGGGGUGGCGGCGGGGCCUGCGCCCGAGGACAGUGCAGCGUCUGCAGCCCUUCGUCUCAGGCGUCUUGGACAAUCCGGGAGGGCUCCCUGGAGAAGGUGACGGCUUUGCAAUGAUAGCGCUUUGCUUGCAGCGCUCUCGCGGAUCCCGACACCAGGGAGGGACCGUGCAUCUUGGCGAGGCGCUUCAUCUCCCAGUCGGCCCCGAUGCUCAGCGUAAGCUCCAAAAACUCGGGAAGGGACCUCGGCCUGCCUCCACGUGCGGAACUUCAGACCUGGCCUUCUCGGUGGUUCCUAACCGGGACGGGCAGAGGCGAGGGGAGCAGAGGGUGGGGUUGACAGCAGCCCCGAAAGCAGCACAGGCUCUCAGAUGGCGGCUCUGCCGUGGAAGGGGCUCCCCAGAGACGGGGAGUAGCAUUACGGGCUCGUGCAAGAGGACAUCAGGACUGCGACCCUCUCCGGGAACUGCACCCUGCUUUAGCUGUCCCCCACUGGGUCCCUGGAGUGGACAAUGGCCCAGGAAGUGGGCUCCGCCAGGACCCUGCCCCCUCUGACAAAGGGAGGGCCCUGGUAGAGCCAGUGGCCUCUUCCUAAAAAACGGGAGCCGGCACCUGCGUGCCGGACCCGGCUGCCCCGCCCUGGACGGUGGCGUCCCCCACACCCUCGGAACCUGCUUCCGUCAGGCUGCGGAACAGACUCGACUUCCGCACCCCGGGAUAGCCGAGCCUCAGGUGAGUCUCUGGCACAGGUAAGAACAUGGGAGGCCCGUCCUCUGCUCUCCCUGAACUCCCAGGGCCUCGGUUUCCCUCUCCUACCCCCAUCUUCCCAGGGAAAAGGUAAAAUGCACCCCCUGUGCGUUCCGCAGCUUCUCCGUAGCUGGGAGAUAAAGUCUUCGCCCACCCUCAGUGCAGGCGUCCUCAAACUACGGCCCGCGGGCCACAUGCGGGUGUUUUUGCCUGUUUGUUUUUUUACUUCAAAAUAAGAUAUGUGCAGCGUGCAAAGGAAUUUGUUCAUGGUUGUUUUUUUUAAACUUCAGUCCGGCCCUCCAACGGUCUGAGGGACAGUGAACUGGCCCCCUGUUUAAAAAGUUUGAGGACCCCCUGCUCUAGUGCUCCCAAUUCCCCCACUGGGAGAAGAUCUUAUAGCUUCCCCCUUCCUCUGACUUCGGGAAGAAGCUUAACUAGAAAUCUGCAUGCGGCAUUUUCCCUGGGAUGCCCUGAGCCUUCAACUCUAGGACCUUCUGCCUUGUUCCACCUAAGACUGUCUGCCUCUGUAUGUCUGUAUGCCUGCGUGUCCACACGUGUCAUGUGCAUGUGAUGUGUCACUACCGAAAUGUGUAAGAGAGCUCUAAUUGAUUGGCUUAAAGAAAAAAUAAGCACUUACAUCAGAUUUUGUUAAGAACAUUGAGAGAACUCAAAUGCCUCUUAGUUCAUGGGGCCUUGGUAACCUUUGAUAAAACUGGUUUUAAAAUUGUUAUUUUUAUUUUUAUUUUUUUUGAGACAGAGUCU